CAGCAGUCGCCACGGUAAUACAGAGGGUGCGAGCGUUAAUCGGAUUUACUGGGCGUAAAGCGUGCGUAGGCGGCUUCUUAAGUCGGAUGUGAAAUCCCUGAGCUUAACUUAGGAAUUGCAUUCGAUACUGGGAAGCUAGAGUAUGGGAGAGGAUGGUAGAAUUCCAGGUGUAGCGGUGAAAUGCGUAGAGAUCUGGAGGAAUACCGAUGGCCAAGGCAGCCAUCUGGCCUAAUACUGACGCUGAGGUACGAAAGCAUGGGGAGCAAACAGGAUUAGAUACCCGAGUAGUCCCUGUCUCUUAUAA
rnacentral:rRNA from 1 species